GGCCACCCAUACAGGACACCUAUCACCCAGGGCCUCUUGUAGCUCCUCUCCUGGCUACGCUGACUGCUUCUUAUAGCUCAGCUCUGCUUUCUUUCAGCUGGUGAGAGGUCAGAGUCUGCCUCUGGGACCUGAGGGACCUAAACCAAGAAUAUCGUCAUUCACUCAACAGCAAGAAGUUAAACAGGGGUCUCAGUGACCACACUUAUUUGAGAGUCAGAAGGAAGAAAAGAUGGAGGAGGACCAGGAACCUCAGGUCAUUUCAGAAGGAGCCACAGGGGAGGUAAAUGUCUCCUUUGUGCUUCGCAGACAAGAGUUUCUGACACAUCUCGGGAAACUCAGGAGGAGUCAGUCUUUGGGCUGCACUUUCAUCCAGGAGGCGGUGUGGGAUGGAUUAAUGGCAACUCACAAUAAAUUAUUUAUCAG
ensembl:lincRNA Gm29230 uncharacterized LOC110290712